GUGUCAGCCGCCGCGGUAAAACCAGCACCUCAAGUGGUCAGGAUGAUUAUUGGGCCUAAAGCAUCCGUAGCCGGCUCAGUAAGUUUUCGGUUAAAUCUGUACGCUCAACGUACAGGCUGCCGGGAAUACUGCAGAGCUAGGGAGUGGGAGAGGUAGACGGUACUCGGGAGGAAGUGGUAAAAUGCUUUGAUCUUUCGAUGACCACCUGUGGCGAAGGCGGUCUACCAGAACACGUCCGACGGUGAGGGAUGAAAGCUGGGGGAGCAAACCGGAUUAGAUACCCGGGUAGUCCCAGCUGUAAACUAUGCAAACUCAGUGAUGCAUUGGCUUGUGGCCAAUGCAGUGUUGCAGGGAAGCCGUUAAGUUUGCCGCCUGGGAAGUACGUACGCAAGUAUGAAACUUAAAGGAAUUGGCGGGGGAGCACCACAAGGGGUGAAGCCUGCGGUUCAAUUGGAGUCAACGCCAGAAAUCUUACCCGGAGAGACAGCAGAAUGAAGGUCAAGCUGAAGACUUUACCAGACAAGCUGAGAGGUGGUGCAUGGCCGUCGCCAGCUCGUGCCGUGAGAUGUCCUGUUAAGUCAGGUAACGAGCGAGAUCCCUGCCUCUAGUUGCCACCAUUACUCUCAGGAGUAGUGGGGCGAAUUAGCGGGACCGCCGCAGUUAAUGCGGAGGAAGGAAGGGGCCACGGCAGGUCAGUAUGCCCCGAAACUCUGGGGCCACACGCGGGCUGCAAUGGUAAUGACAAUGUGUUCCGAAUCCGAAAGGAAGAGGUAAUCCUCAAACAUUACCACAGUUAUGACUGAGGGCUGCAACUCGCCCUCACGAAUAUGGAAUCCCUAGUAACUGCGUGUCAUUAUCGCGCGGUGAAUACGUCCCUGCUCCUUGCACACACCGCCCGUC
rnacentral:rRNA from 1 species